rnacentral:rRNA from 1 species
CCUACGGGUGGCAGCAGUGAGGAAUAUUGGUCAAUGGACGAGAGUCUGAUGCAGCAACGCCGCGUGAAGGAAGAAGGCCUUCGGGUCGUAAACUUCUGUCCUUGGGGAAGUAGAACUGACGGUACCCAAGGAGGUAGCCCCGGCUAACUACGUGCCAGCAGCCGCGGCUAUACGUAGGGGGCCAGGCUUAUCCGGAAUUCUUGGGGGUAAAGGGUACGUAGGUGGCAACCUAAGGGCAGGGUUUAAGGCAAUGGCUCAACCAUUUUUCGCCCGGCGACCUGGGAUGCUUGAGUGCAGGGUAGGAAAGCGGAAUUCCUAGUGUAGCGGUGAAAUGCGUAGAUAUUAGGAGGAACACCAGUGGCGAAGGCGGCUUUCUGGACUGUAACUGACACUGAGGUACGAAAGCGUGGGGAGCAAACAGGAUUAGAUACCCCAGUAGUC